UACGGAGGGGGCUAGCGUUGUUCGGAAUUACUGGGCGUAAAGCGCGCGUAGGCGGAUCAGUCAGUCAGGGGUGAAAUCCCGGGGCUCAACCCCGGAACUGCCUUUGAUACUGCUGAUCUCGAGGACAGGAGAGGAGAGUGGAAUUCCCAGUGUAGAGGUGAAAUUCGUAGAUAUUGGGAAGAACACCAGAGGCGAAGGCGGCUCUCUGGCCUGUUUCUGACGCUGAGGUGCGAAAGCGUGGGGAGCGAACAGGAUUAGAUACCCGGGUAGUCC
rnacentral:rRNA from 1 species